CUACACACGUGCUACAAUGGCAUAUACAAAGAGAAGCGACCUCGCGAGAGCAAGCGGACCUCAUAAAGUAUGUCGUAGUCCGGAUUGGAGUCUGCAACUCGACUCCAUGAAGUCGGAAUCGCUAGUAAUCGUAGAUCAGAAUGCUACGGUGAAUACGUUCCCGGGCCUUGUACACACCGCCCGUCACACCAUGGGAGUGGGUUGCAAAAGAAGUAGGUAGCUUAACCUUCGGGAGGGCGCUUACCACUUUGUGAUUCAUGACUGGGGUGAAGUCGUAACAAGGUAACCGUAGGGG
rnacentral:rRNA from 1 species